GAUGAACGCUGGCGGCGUGCCUAAUACAUGCAAGUCGAGCGAACAGACGAGGAGCUUGCUCCUCUGACGUUAGCGGCGGACGGGUGAGUAACACGUGGAUAACCUACCUAUAAGACUGGGAUAACUUCGGAAACCGGAGCUAAUACCGGAUAAUUAAUUUAACCCCAUUGUUCAAUUGUGAAAAACGGUUUUUCUUUUCCUUAUUGAUUGGUCCGCGCCGCAUUAGCUAGUUGGUAAGGUAACGGCUUACCAAGGCAACGAUGCGUAGCCGACCUGAGAGGGUGAUCGGCCACACUGGAACUGAGACACGGUCCAGACUCCUACGGGAGGCAGCAGUAGGGAAUCUUCCGCAAUGGGCGAAAGCCUGACGGAGCAACGCCGCGUGAGUGAUGAAGGUCUUCGGAUCGUAAAACUCUGUUAUUAGGGAAGAACAAAUGUGUAAGUAACUAUGCACGUCUUGACGGUACCUAAUCAGAAAGCCACGGCUAACUACGUG
rnacentral:rRNA from 1 species